rnacentral:rRNA from 1 species
UACGUAGGGUGCAAGCGUUGUCCGGAAUUAUUGGGCGUAAAGAGCUCGUAGGCGGUCUGUCGCGUCUGCUGUGAAAACUCAGGGCUUAACCCUGAGCUUGCAGUGGGUACGGGCAGACUAGAGUGCGGUAGGGGAGACUGGAAUUCCCGGUGUAGCGGUGAAAUGUGUAGAGAUCGGGGAGGAACACCGGGUGGCGAAGGCGGGUCUCUGGGCAAUUCCGUGACGCU